rnacentral:ncRNA from 1 species
AAUGAUGGUUUUGUCGCUUUUCAUUAUAGGUCAUAUGGGACUUUUUGUAUACACUCAAAAAGGCUCCAUAUAUGAGUC